rnacentral:rRNA from 1 species
GAUGAACGCUGGCGGCGUGCUUAACACAUGCAAGUCGAACGAUGAAGCCCAGCUUGCUGGGUGGAUUAGUGGCGAACGGGUGAGUAACACGUGAGUAACCUGCCCUUAACUCUGGGAUAAGCCUGGGAAACUGGGUCUAAUACCGGAUAGGAGCGUCCACCGCAUGGUGGGUGUUGGAAAGAUUUAUCGGUUUUGGAUGGACUCGCGGCCUAUCAGCUUGUUGGUGAGGUAAUGGCUCACCAAGGCGACGACGGGUAGCCGGCCUGAGAGGGUGACCGGCCACACUGGGACUGAGACACGGCCCAGACUCCUACGGGAGGCAGCAGGGGGAAUAUUGCACAAUGGGCGCAAGCCUGAUGCAGCGACGCCGCGUGAGGGAUGACGGCCUUCGGGUUGUAAACCUCUUUCAGUAGGGAAGAAGCGAAAGUGACGGUACCUGCAGAAGAAGCACCGGCUAACUACGUG